AGGAAACUGAAAUCCGAACGGGACAAACGCGUUAGAAAAACAAGGCCAGGGCCGCUGGUCAGAACUCAGCUUUUCCUCGCCCGGCCGGCCCAUUUUUUGGAGAACUACAAAGAGGGAUAAAGGGAGAAACCAAAAUAGAAUGACCAUUUUGCACAAGCAUUACCAUAUGUAUUCUAAUGCUGCCUGGGCAUCUGCUUCAGCAGAUUCCCUCAGUAGAACAACUGGAGAUAUGGGAAAAAUGAUAAACCCGUGCUUCUUUCAAACAAUGGGUGAUGAACUCUGACCUGAGACUUCUAGAAGCUGAGCAGCAAGCAGGCACUAGAGGAAGACUCACCUGAGAAACCAUACCCAAAGGUGACAACGUGAGCACCUAACAUCUUACAAGCAGAGAGAUGCUCUACUUGAAUACCAUCAAGUUAUCCAGAAGAAGCAAGUCAAUUAUUUCUUGCAAUGAACAACCUUAACACUGUGCUGUGACUUAGCCAAACUUCUCCCCACUGCACAGUGGAUCUCUGCUGUAUUUGCACAAAUAAAAAGCCUAUUUAGACAGCUUCCCCAAAUGGGGUUCUGAAAUACUGAGGUUUCCCCUUGAGAGAAAUCUACUGCUUCUGACUUGUAAAGGUUGAUUUUUUUCUGAGGUUCUACUCAUAACAUUAAAACAUAAAACAGUCCAAACUUCAGCUUGAAUAAAAACAACAAAAGUCUGUAAACCCUCAUUCAGAGGGGUUAUUUUAUUUGAUGUGAUGGGUACUUUGCCUACAUGUAUGUCUAUGUGCCCCCUGUGCGCCUACUGACACAGAGGCCAAACUGGGCAUCUGACACCCUGGAACAGAUGUUACAAUUAGUUGUGAGCCUCCAUGUGGGUACUGAGUACUGAGCCUAGAUCCUCUGGAAGAGCAGCCAUUGCUCUUAACUAUUGAAAUAUCUCUACAGCUCCUCAGAAUGGGUAUUUUUUUGUAACUACACUAUGCAACAUGGAGUCUGAGGUAAGGUGGACACUAGACAAGGGUCAUUCUUAUGAAGUAAGUUAUAAGGAGAACGUACUGUCCCACACAGCUGCACCAUGCCAUAGCUAAGAGGAUGGCAUUAUCCACAUGGAGAAGAGAUCCCACUCCCUCCCUCAACUCAGCUUUCUAAACCAAAAGCCCUCGCAUGUAACUAGUAGGU